rnacentral:lncRNA from 1 species
GGGAUUGAACCCAGGGGUGCUUAAUCACUGAGCCACAUCCCCAGCCUUUGUUGUUGUUGUUAUUAUUAUUAUUAUUUUAAAAUUUGAGACAGGGUCUCAUUAAGUUGCUUAGAGCCUUGCUAAAUUGCUAAGGCUAGUUUUGAACUUGUGGUCCUUCUGCCUCAGCCUCCUGAGCUGCUGGGAUUACAGGCGUGUGCUAUAACACUUGGCUGUAUUUGUGGAAGUCCAGAUUGCUGUAAGUGUUCUAGCAUCUGGGACUUCUCUUGUCAUAGCACACACCAGCCUGCAACCUGGUUCUCUGUUCACUUGCCUCUCUUCCCUAUGAGAUUGUAAGCUGUAUGAGGACAGGAGUCUUCCAUUUUGCACACUUAUUCUCCAGCAUACAUCACAGUACAGAGUGUGCAGAGGAUACAAAAUAGCUAUUUAUUGCAUGAAUGAAGGAGUGAUGUAUAGGUCUUUGUUCCUUCUCCUACAGGAAUUAUGCCUCAUUCCUUUCUGACUCCUUUAGAACUAGAAAUCUCUUUGGCAAAACUCAGAUGAGUCAUGGAGUAUGGCUACAGGAGCAACCAUGUGAAGAAACAGAUAGCUGCACAUAUGCUCCUCUGCUGAACUUGAUAUUACCAAUUUGAUUAAAUGCCAAGUCUGCUUAACUUUCUGGGAUUGGGUCAGAAUAUUUCUGCUUUUUCAUUGUGGAAUUAGUGAAACUUCAUAUUUAUGAACUUUUUUUAGUUAGGUCAUAAUUUUGGAGUUUAUUUUUCAAUAUUCUCUGUUGUUCUGUCUAAGAUAUUUCAUUGACAUUUACCUCACCUUUAAAUUCUGUGUAUUCUUAUAAUUUCCAGAAAUUUUGUUGAUUACCAUAAAAAUUUUUAUUUUGAGGUUUAAAAUUACCCAAGUGCAAACUAUGAUAUGCCUAAGGCAUAUCAUAUUUUUUAAUAACAGUUGGUUCUAAAUUUUAAUAGUAAUAAUUAGAGCAUUUUGUAUUUCAGAAGCUUUCUCUUGGGACUUUUUAAAAGAUAUUUUUCUGCCAUACAUUUUCUCUCUGUAUCACACAGAAAUAUACAUUUGUAUUUUAAUAUUAGACAGUAGACUUUACCUAAUUGGUACUUGCCACUAGAAACAGGGACCUCAUGGUGUAUGCAACAAUGAAUAAACUGCAAAAUAAAUACUAUUGGAAGAAGAAAAAGGAAGAAAAUAGGCUCUUUUUUUUGUUAAGUAAAUGCAUUUGUUACUUUUCUCAUCUCAUCAAGUUCCUCAGGCACAUGGUAAAUCUUUGAAAUCAUCAGCAAUUGUGUCCAUUUCCAACUAAGCAGCAAUCACCAUAGUAAAUUUUGUAAGAUGUAAAACACUCUUCUAUUGAAAAUUUUAUUGAUGUUUACUAUAAAAAGAACACAUAAUGAUAUCUGGAGUGACUCUCAUAAGAUACUAAGCAUAACACAAAACACAACAAGCAAAGUCUGUAAAAGCAAAUAACUCACCACAAACCUCUUAAAGGGUUUAUCUUUUCUGACCCUCUGAGCUUGGAAUUGGAGUAUCUUUAUCCAAGAUACACUAUCAUCACUUGACUAAGUAUGAUCAUCUUUUAUUUAUUUGCUUUUAUAAUAUAAAAAUGCCCAGCAGCUUAAAACUUACCCCAAGAACUGUAUAUUAUAUAUAUCUUGAAUUUACUUGUAUCUUUUCUGGCUAUUUUUUUUUCCCUUCAGAGGGAAGCACCAUCACAAAUUUCACAUCUUGUGUUACUUGUAAAAUGGUUUUGUUGCAUACACAUAAACAAAAAGAAAUGCGUAUACCUAAGCAUUGUUUAGUUUUGUUUGUUUAAUUUUGCUUCUUCUCAUUUAGCGUUAUUACUAAGAGUCAUUGGUGUUGUCUCUGCAAAUCAUUAACUUUU